UAGAAGUGUAAACAGGAGCCAGUAACAGGAGAAACUGGUGUCUGGAAUCUGAGCGAAAGUGGUCCGAAAGUCAAGGACUAGCCCGGCCAAGGAGAGACCACAGAGGCUUGGGACCAUGUACCUGCAUACUAAGGUUUCUGAGGCCCUACUAUGUGUACAGCACAGUGGUGGACUCUUGAGGGACACGAAGAUGACUAAGACACAGUCGCAGCCUUUCAGCAGCUUCUAAUCCAUUAGGGGAUAUGAGGCAAGUGUACCGCGACCACCACACCAGGACUCAGGUGCAGAUUGCACACCUGAAGGGAAGUGAGGUUGGAGCUGCAAGAGGUGUCACUGUCGGUGAGCAAAGCUAGAAGAGUUUGCCACUUGACAGAAAGAGAAUUUUAGGUGGGUCUUC
rnacentral:lncRNA from 1 species